rnacentral:misc_RNA from 1 species
UCAUUCUUAAAUCUAUGGAUUUAGUGUUGAGUCGAUUUGUCCGAAAAAUGACAAUUGCUUGAAAUGAAUUUUGGCAGAGGCGACUAUAUUUUAGCUUUUACAACGUAUUAGGUUUUACCAUCUCGUUGGAAAUAUUACGGCGAAUAGAAGUGGCUUUGGCGUUAUAAACAUUUUUUAUAAAAA